CCUCCGGUAGCUCAGUUGGUAGAGCGGUGGACUGUAGAUCCAUAGGUCGCUGGUUCAAAUCCGGCACAGAGGA